rnacentral:sRNA from 1 species
CUUGAUGCUCUCCUUUCUCCCUUCCUUCCUCCCCUUCUUCCUUCACCUUCCUGUCCAUUUCCCUGAUAUGGCCUUCCUUUAACCUUCCCCUUCCUUCUUCUUCUUCUUUCUUCUUUCUCCCUUCUCCUGUCUUUUCCUUUCCCUUUAUUUCCUGGUCUUUCCUCUCCAUCCUCCCCUCCUGUCCCCUUUUCCCCUCCCCAUUCCCACCUCCAGAUGGAGAAGCUGCUGCUCCCUGCUGUAGACUUAGAGCAGUGGUACCAGGAGCUGAUGGCCGGGCUGGGGACUGGCCCCGCUGCAGCCUCCCCUCACUCUUCUCCCCCGCCUCUGCCCGCCAAAGCUUCCCGUCAGCUGCAGGUUUACCGCUCCAAGAUGGAUGGCGAGGCCACCAGCCCCCUUCCCCGGACCCGCAGCGGCCCCCUCCCCUCCUCCUCUGGCUCUUCCUCCUCCUCCUCCCAGCUCAGCGUGGCUACCCUGGGGCGUAGCCCCUCCCCAAAGAGCACUCUACUCACCCAGAAUGGCACGGGCAGCCUUCCUCGCAACCUGGCAGCCACGCUGCAGGACAUCGAGACCAAGCGCCAACUAGCUCUGCAGCAGAAGGGUGAGUGACUGCCCCGCCAGCCCAUCUGCUCUCCUGAGGGGACCCUGGGUAGUUGCCAUGCCUCCUCUAUGCUCACACCUUUCACAGGAUGUUUUUCCUUUAAUUGGGAUCUAGGCAAGAGCAGAAAGGAUUUAGAGUGGGUACCUAAAGAAGAGCUUCCUGGAUAUUUAUCUAAAGCCUUCAGGGCAGGAGACUAAGGGCUUAGGGGGCUGUGACAUCUUUUCUAGAGAGCCUAGCCAAUAAGGGAACUGCUUGUUGACCUGAGUCGGGUUAGACAUUGCCCUCUCUGGAGGCAGGGGAUGGAUUUGAUGACUUCUAGAAAUGGUUGCCUGAGAUAUUGGCUCUGGGGACCCAGGAGUCCUUGUUGCUUGUGUGCAAUUUGGUUGUUUUG